GGCUCAGUGGUGUAAUGGUAAUGCACUCCAUAUUCCUAUGUACACGGUAUCAUUCAUGGAAGGUCUGGAGUUCAAUUCUCCGCCAAGCCA